rnacentral:rRNA from 1 species
UACGAAGGGGGCUAGCGUUGCUCGGAAUUACUGGGCGUAAAGGGCGCGUAGGCGGAUAUUUAAGUCAGGGGUGAAAUCCUGGAGCUCAACUCCAGAACUGCCCUUGAUACUGAGGAUCUUGAGUUCGGGAGAGGUGAGUGGAACUGCGAGUGUAGAGGUGAAAUUCGUAGAUAUUCGCAAGAACACCAGUGGCGAAGGCGACUCACUGGCCCGUUACUGACGCUGAGGCGCGAAAGCGUGG